rnacentral:RNase_P_RNA from 1 species
AGCAGGUGAGAUGGUCGCUCCCGACUAAAGCGGAAAACAGUUUAGUCGGGAGAGGAAAGUCCGGGCUCCGGAGGGCAGGACAGUGGCUAACAGCCACCGGGGGCGACCCCAGGGAAAGUGCCACAGAAAAGAUACCGCCCCGCACUCAACCGAUAAAGGUAUUGAAAGGCAAUGAUCGGGAACAAAGCAACGGGAAGGAAACCGUUGUAAUCCACAGACAAAGUUCUCUCAAUAGGGAUAAAGCUCAAUACCUGUAUCGGUCGAGUGCGGGGUAAGGGUGAAAAGGUGGGGUAAGAGCCCACCGCUGUGAGGGUGACCUCACAGGCUCGGCAAACCCUGUCCGGAGCAAGGCCAAAUAGGUUCCGCCUCGAGGGUGGCCCGCCCGAUUGUGCGGAACGGGUAGGCUGCAAGAGGCUGUGGGUAACCACGGUCCAGAGAGAAAUGACCAUUCCAUACAGAACCCGGCUUAUUGCCUGC